rnacentral:rRNA from 1 species
GGCCAAGCAAGAGUGGCAUACGGUGGAUGCCUUGGCACCAGGCGCCGAUGAAGGACGUGGGAGGCCGCGAUAGUCCACGGGGAGUUGUCAACCGAGCGGUGAUCCGUGGGUGUCCGAAUGGGGGAACCCAGCCCGAGUUGUGUCGGGUUGCCGCCGUCUGAAUGUAUAGGGCGGUUGGUGGUGACGCGGGGAAGUGAAACAUCUCAGUACCCGCAGGAAGAGAAAACAAGAGUGAUUCCCUGAGUAGUGGUGAGCGAAAGGGGAUGGUGGCUAAACCGCGUGCGUGUGAGAGGCGGCAGCCGUUGCGUGCGUGGGGUUGUGGGGUUGCGUUGUGUCCGGUCUGCCGGCUGGGCGCGCUGGUGGUUGCUGUAGUCGAAGCCGUUGGGAAGCGGUGCCGGAGUGGGUGAGAGUCCCGUAGGCGAAGCGGUGAUCAUUGGUGUGGACGUUGUCCCCGAGUAGCGCGGAGCUCGUGGAAUUCCGUGUGAAUCCGGCAGGACCACCUGUCAAGCCUGAAUACGUCCUGGUGACCGAUAGUGGACGAGUACCGUGAGGGAAAGGUGAAAAGUGCCCCGGUGAGGGGUUGUGAAAGAGUACCUGAAACCGUGUGCUGUCAAGCCGUCAGAGCUUCGCUUUGGUGCGGGGUGAUGGCGUGCCUUUUGAAGAAUGAGCCUGCGAGUCGUGGUGUGUGGCGAGGUUAACCCGGGUGGGG